AUUGAACGCUGGCGGCAGGCCUAACACAUGCAAGUCGAACGAGUGGCGGACGGGUGAGUAAUGUCUGGGAAACUGCCCGAUGGCGGGGGAUAACUACUGGAAACGGUAGCUAAUACCGCAUACCAUCGGAUGUGCCCAGAUGGGAUUAGCUAGUGGGUGGGGUAACGGCUCACCUCGGCGACGAUCCCUAGCUGUUCUGAUAGGAUGACAAGCCAAACGGGAAAUGAGACACGGUCCAGACUACUACGGGAGGCAGCAGUGGGGAAUAUUGCACAAUGGGCGCAAGCCUGAUGCAGCCAUGCCGGGUGUAUGAAGAAGGCCUUCGGGUUGUAAAGUACUGUCAGCGAGGAGGCGUUACUCUCAGAAGAAGCACCGGCUAACUCCGUGCCAGCAGCCGCGGUAAUAC
rnacentral:rRNA from 1 species